rnacentral:lncRNA from 1 species
CACCAAUGUCAGACUCCUAUCUUCCCUCCUUAGCCAUCAUCGACUCCAGUCUUCUGUCUUCCGUCAUGGGCCCAUCUUCCCCAAUCGGCCAUCAUCGAUGCCAGUCUUCAGUCUUCAUCCAUCGUUUAUCAUCGUUCAUCGUUCGCUAUUUAUUAGUGCCCCUAACAGAUCUGGCUCCUAUCGACUCCCUCUUCUCUAGACC